AUUGAACGCUGGCGGCAGGCCUAACACAUGCAAGUCGAGCGGAUGAGGGAAGCUUGCUUCCCGAUUUAGCGGCGGACGGGUGAGUAAUGCCUAGGAAUCUGCCUACUAGUGGGGGAUAACGUUCCGCAAGGAACGCCAAUUCCGCAUACGUCCUACGGGAGAAAGUCGGGGAUCUUCGGACCUCACGCUAAUAGAUGAGCAUGGGUCGGAUUAGGUAGUUGGCGGGGUAACGGCUCACCAAGGCGACGAUCCGUAGCUGGUCUGAGAGGAUGAUCAGCCACACUGGAACUGAGACACGGUCCAGGCUCCGACGGGAGGCAGCAGUGGGGAAUAUUGGACAAUGGGCGAAAGCCUGAUCCAGCCAUGCCGCGUGUGUGAAGAAGGUCUUCGGAUUGUAAAGCACUUUAAGUUGGGAGGAAGAGUUGUAAGCUAAUAUCUUGCAGCUUUGACGUUACCAACAGAAUAAGCACCGGCUAACUCUGGGCCAGCCGCCGCAGUAAGAC
rnacentral:rRNA from 1 species